rnacentral:rRNA from 1 species
CCUACGGGUGGCAGCAGUGAGGAAUAUUGGUCAAUGGGCGUAAGCCUGAACCAGCCAAGUCGCGUGAGGGAUGAAGGUUCUAUGGAUCGUAAACCUCUUUUAUAAGGGAAUAAAGUGCGGGACGUGUCCCGUUUUGUAUGUACAUUAUGCAUAAGGAUCGGCUAAAUCCGUGCCAGCAGCGGCGGUAAUACGGAGGAUCCGAGCGUUAUCCGGAUUUAUGGGGUUUAAAGGGUGCGUUGGCGGCCUUUUAAGUAAGCGGUGAAAGUCUGUAGCUCAACCAUAGAAUUGACGGUGAAACUGGGGGGCUUGAGUAUGUUUGAGGCAGGCGGAAUGCGUGGUGUAGCGGUGAAAUGCUUAGAUAUCACGCAGAACCCCGAUUGCGAAGGCAGCCUGCCAAGCCAUGACUGCCGCUGAUGCACGAAAGCGUGGGGAUCAAACAGGAUUAGAUACCCCUGUAGUC